UCCAAAACUUCCCAUUUUCAUAUUGUACAACAUCGUCAAUAUGAUGAUUGCUGAAAGAGCUUAUAUUUACAUGAACCUCACUGCUCCAGCACAGCGCUAACCCUCCACCUAAGCCAUUUCUAUUUACAGCAAAACAAUUCUCAAAAUUCAUCCGAUUACAUACCUCCCUCGCUUGCACAGCCAUUAAUUUAGUUUCACAAAAAAACAAAAUAUGAGGCUUGUGUGUUUGGAGAAUUCGCUUCACCUCUAGGCGCGUCCGGGUAUUCCCCAAACCCCGGACGUUCCAACUUAGCAUUUUCAUGGCUGUCGGCGGGGCUGUGCACCAGCCGCCGCCGAUAUGUCUUCUUGCAUUGCUGUCUCAUCCUCCACGAUUGUGUUUUCAGGCUGCCCCUAGCACACCUUGAGUUUUGCUGCCGGGGAGUAUGUCGGAGUGUUGUUAGUUAACAGGUAAUUU
rnacentral:lncRNA from 1 species